CGAUCUGUGAGAUGAAGCUUAUUAAACUGGGAAAAGAAAAACUAAAAUCUUAGUCUCCCCCAGCACGCGUCUUUCAAAAUUUAGACUGACUGGGUCUUUCAAAAUCUAGAUACAGCUAGCAAGCGUAUGCGCGGUCAGUCCAGACGACCACCAGAUCUGGAUCUCUUCAUUCCCCUUUGGGCUUUGGUCAACGCUUUUGCUUGGUGAGCAUCGUCGACCGGCGGCAGCAGCAGCAGCAGGCCUUGGCGAGUCUCCGUGUCCCCUUCCCUCCUUUCCCCAGCAAGUCAAGGGAGGAAGAAGGGAAGGAAGGAAGUAAGGAGAAGCUGCUAGCGGCCGAAGCCUUAUCGCUUGCUGACACGGAAAUGGGCGGAUGCGAGUUCGAGAGGGCGGAGAUAGAUGCACUGGAGCGCGUUGCAGGUGAUCCAAGCGCGGAGCCGAUAAGCCUGUCGUUUUGGCUUCUCAGGCGCAUAACCAAUGAUUUCUCCGAUGAAUCUUUAAUUGGUAGAGGUGGGUAUGGAGCGGUUUACCUGGGGGUGCUUCCAAAUGGGUUACGUAUUGCUGUCAAGAAGCUUUUCCAAACAUUUGCAACAAUUGAUUCCAGAGCAUUUGAAGACGAACUUUUUACCGCAAGGAGGGUUGGUCAUCACAAGAACAUAGUGCGAACCAUAGGCUACUGUAGUCACACACAAUCUGAAGUCGCCCAAUAGAAUGGGAAAUCUGUUUUCGCAGACACCAAUGAAAGAUUGAUCUGUAUGGAGUAUGUGCCUAAUGGAACCCUUGGUAGACAUAUCACUGAUAAGUUUCAUGGAGGACUUGAUUGGAACCAACGUUAUAAAGUUCUUAAAGGAAUUUGUCAUGGUUUGCAUUAUCUGCACAAUGAAGUGCGCCUUAUUCACGGGGAUAUCAAAGCAGAAAAUAUAUUGCUCAAGGAUAACCUCCUGCCGCAAAUUUUUGACUUUGGUUUGUCCAAGUGCCUUAGUGAUGGAGAAUCUUCAAUUCAUCAAAGAAACAUCUGGGGAACUGCAGGGUAUCUAGCGCCAGAGUCGCUUAAUGACGGAAAAUAUUCUUUUAAGUCUGACAUAUACAGCUUUGGUGUUGUGAUCAUAAAGCUAUUGGUUGGAUCGAUUACUAGCAUCGGAGAGAACCAAAAUGUUGAUCUAGCACUUAAACAGUUGAGAAAAAGGUUGGUAAAAGAAGGAGCGUUUUCAUCAUGGGAAAACAAAUACCACCAAGUUAGAACUUGUCUGGAGAUUGCGUAUACCUGUAUGGAAAUAAAUCGAGAUAAAAGACCUACUGCAUUGGAAAUUAUCCAGCAGUUUGAUGAAACGGAAAAUACGCGUUAUUCUGACCCAUCACUUUGGCAGUCAGGAGAUGAGGAAUCUGAUACAUCGGACACAGAUGCUUUUGAGACAGAGACAACAACCAAGUUUGUUCCAAGUGACGAGGAACCUGCCUCAGCAGACAUGACUGGAGAAACAAGCACACAAGAAGAUGACAUGCCUGACCUACUAAGUAAAGUGUCUUUGUCAGCGGAACUGUCCUCGCUAGAUUUCCUGGAGAAAAUCACAGAUGGUUUUUCGCAUGAACGAAUAGUUGGGAAGGACGGUCCUCAUGCAGUUGUUCAUAAAGCAUUUGUUUAUGAGGGCAACAUUUCAGGUCAAACAGUAGUAGCCGUGAAGAGGUUAAUUGGAGUAGAAAUUAAAGUUAGAAAGUUUGAGAUGGAGGCUAAACGGCUGUUGAAUCUAGAUCACAAGAACAUAGUAAAGCUCCUUGGCUACUGCCACGACGAAUCUAGAGGACAUAAGCUGGUACAGUUUAAAGGAAAACCACCGCAAGACUUUAAAGGAGCUGAACAACUGCUCUGCUAUGAAUAUAUGCACAAUGGAAGCCUCCGUGAGUAUCUUAUUGGACAAGAAUCUCGUGAAGUUGAUUGGCACAUGUGCUACAAAUUGAUCAAAGGGACAUGUGAAGGUUUACUUUACCUCCACGAGGAUUGUGGAGAUCGUCCAAUUGUUCAUUUGAAUCUAAACCCGUCAAAUAUACUGCUGGAUGAACACAACGAACCACGCAUCACGGGUUUUGAUUUUUCGAAGCUCAUUGGUGAAAAGAACACAAAAUCCGUAUUUUUUCAGAUGAAUGGACCAUUAGGUUACCUGCCACCGGACUUCCUGUAUUCAAAGGGUACUGACCUCAAAUAUCUAGCUACGGUGGACAUAUACAGCUUGGGUCUUAUAAUUUUAGAGAUCGCAGCACGUCAAGAGAUCAAGGGUGACCAUGGAAUAAUUAUUAAGACUGUCGAGACAAACUGGAGGCAAGAUUCACAAAUAGCAACGCUGUAUGGCUCACUAGAAGAUAAAUUUCGGGGGCAAGUAAAAAUGUGCAUUGAUAUUGGCCUACAUUGUGUAAAGUCAAAGCCUGAAAAAAGACCUACUGCUGGAGAGAUCAUACGAUGGCUUGACAAUGGUCAAAGACCAGGAGUUGCCGAACCUCCACUCCGUGCUAAUGCCACCCCUGCAGAUGACCACAUACAAGAAAAGGAGAAACAGACGCCAUUGAGGAGACUUUUCAGGAGAAAGUAAUGCUCAAGUUACUGAAGGCAUUUGCGUGGCAGCUGCAAUGGCCAAAGUUUCUUCCAAAUGAUCAUUUGGAAGAAACUUUCGAGGUUACUCUGUUUUGCAGCUGCAACCUGCUCUUCGUGCUCUGUUUUGCAGCUGGCGUGAGUGGUGCGAACACCGGUUACUCUGUUUUGCCUUGAUGUUUUUGAGUUGUAACUUUCGAGGGGCAGUUUUUUGUGUAUAGUUCAUGCAAUGUGUAUAUAGUUUACGCGGGGCUGGAGAGACAUUCAAUGUAACCACCUGGGAUGGCUUGUAUUCUGGUGAAUAUUAUAGAUGGUUCAACAAAGUUCAUGGUUU
rnacentral:rRNA from 1 species